rnacentral:rRNA from 1 species
UACAGAGGGGGCAAGCGUUGUUCGGAAUUACUGGGCGUAAAGGGCGCGUAGGCGGCCUGCUAAGUCGAACGUGAAAUCCCCGGGCUCAACCCGGGAACUGCGUCCGAUACUGGCAGGCUUGAAUUCGGGAGAGGGAUGUGGAAUUCCAGGUGUAGCGGUGAAAUGCGUAGAUAUCUGGAGGAACACCGGUGGCGAAGGCGGCAUCCUGGACCGAGAUUGACGCUGAUGCGCGAAAGCCAGGGGAGCGAACGGG